GUUUAGUUGUGUCUGCCUCUUCGUGACCCCAUGGACCAGAGCACGCCAGGCACUCCUGUCUUCCACUGCCUCCCGCAGUUUGGUCAAACUCAUGCUGGUAGCUUCGAGAACACUGUCCAACCAUCUCACCCUCUGUCGUCCCCUUCUCCUUGUGCCCUCCAUCUUUCCCAACACCAGGGUCUUUUCCAGGGAGUCUUCUCUUCUCAUGAGGUGGCCAAAGUAUUGGAGUCUCAGCUUCAGGAUCUGUCCUUCCAGUGAGCACUCAGGGCUGAUUCAGGAACACAGUAGGGUGUGGCAAAGUUGGUCUGCCAACAGGCCUGGUGCCUGAAGCUACGGUAUAUCCCAUAAAGCAUAACCUUGGGGAUAUUCCGUUCCGUGUACAUGAUCAAGUCAGCAUAGACAUCACUGAGACAGAAGUGCAAACACGCUAGGAAUGUGAGCUUAGAACAGCACAUCUCUGUUUGAUACUUUGUCCUAAACUCUUCCUGAUGUAGUGCAAAUAGAAGGCACUGAGGCACUGCUCCUGGCAGUAAUUUGCCCAUGACUCACUUCCAUUAAGCAGUUUCCUAAACACAAAAGCCUGCAAAGACCUUCAUCUUUGUAUAGUGGUACCUCGGGUUACAUACGCUUCAGGUUACAUACACUUCAGGUUACAGACUCUGCUAACCCAGAAAUAGUGCUUCAGGUUAAGAACUUUGCUUCAGGAUGAGAACAGAAAUUGUGCUCCAGCGGCGCGGCAGCAGCAGGAGGCCCCAUUAGCUAAAGUGGUGCUUCAGGUUACGAACAGUUUCAGGUUAAGUACGGACCUCUGGAACGAAUUAAGUACUUAACCCGAGGUACCACUCUAUUGGCCAUUAGCAUCACAUUCUCCCAUAACCUUUUGGAGAGGUGAGCCAUUAUCACAGCUGCCUUGCCAAUAUGCUUGUCCAGCUCAGCAUCAAUGGAGAAGUUGUUGGUUAUGAUGGUAGCCAAAAUUAGACAAAAUCGUCUACCACCUCAAGCAUAUGGUCACCAAUGCUGAUGCGAGGAGUGCUGGCAACGUCCUGACUGGUCCUUGUCAGACUGAUGGUGAGGCACUUUGAUCUGAUGUAAAGCAGAAACAGAGCUGGGUGUCAUCUGUGUAUUGAGGGCUCCCAGCUAGAAAGCUCUAGAUGAUCCCUCAUAGUGAUUUCAUAUAGAUGCUAAGCAAUAGCUUGGGGAAAAUACCAUAACACAAGUUUGAUGGCACUGAACCAUUGUCCCCCAGCACUAUCUUCUGGAUUCUGCCAACCAGGUUGAAGCAGGGCAAAAACAGUGCAUCCAACUCUCCCUUUGGGUGAGUAGCCCAUGGCUGAGGAUUUCAAAUAAUAGAGUCCUAAGAGAAUAGCUGAGACACAGUUCCGCUUUGGGUAAAGGUCAUCCACCAGAAUAACCAAAAGCAUUUCUGACCCAAAGCCAGGCUGGAGUCCAGUUUAAAAUAAUUCCAGAUAGCCAGCAUCAUUUGGCAGUAGUACUGAGCCACCAUGCCUGUAUACAUGUGGUUGGUAGUACAAUAGCUUUGUAAACAAGCAUUUUGGUUUCUCUGCGAAUGUCCCGGUCCUCAAACACUCUGCACUUCAGCUGGGAGAACGCUGAACCUGCAGAGCUCAGGUGACGCUGGAUUUCGGCAUCAAUGUCGGCCCUUGUGGAAAGAUAGGUAGGAGAAGUGAUCAACAUUUUCCAAUGUUACACCAUUGGGUUGGAUUUGUGGUGCUUGUGAAACAUGGACCGCUUAUAAACGCCAUCUCCAGCUCCUCAAAAGAUUCCAUCAACUGUGUCUCCGAAAAUUCUUACAUAACACUUAGGAAGACAGGCAAACUAAUGCCAGUUUACUGGAAGAAGCAAAGGUCACCAGUGUCGAAGCAAUGAUUCUUCAACAUCAACUUCAUUGGACUGGUCAUGUUGUGCGGAUGCCUGAUGAUCGUCUUCCAAAGCAACUACUCUAUUCCGAACUUAAAAAUGGAAAGCGUAAUGCUGGUGGUCAACAAAAGCAGUUUAAAGACUCUCUCAAUGCAAAUCUAAAAAAGUGUAGUAUAAACACCAACAAUUGGGAAACACUGGCCUGCGAGUGUUCCAAUUGGAGAACAAACUUUACCAAAGGUGUCAUGGACUUUGAAGACGCUCAAACUCAGGGUGAAAGGGAGAAAUGUGCUAAGAGGAAGGCACAUUUGGCAAACCCUCACAGUGAUCAACUCCUGCCCGGAAACCUAUGUCCCCACUGUAGAAGGCCGUGUGUAUCCCAAACUGGCCUCCACAGUCACUUAUGGUCACACUGUUAAAACCGUGUUUGGUUAAAUUUUUAUUUUGCAAAAAGAAAACAAAAACAAAUUUCAAAUGUCAACAUAUCAGAUAGAAUAAUCAAUACAAAUUAAGAUGACAUAAAAAGAGUAAAAAUGACUUCCCUCCACCAUUAUGUGACUUUUCCUUUUAAAUUUUACUUCUCUCGUUGUGUUCUUAUGCUAUCUUAUACCAUCGUUUCUGUUAUGCCUGUUAUUACUCUGUCACGUCUCCUUGCGAUAUCUUAGAGUUCAUAUCAAUAUUUCAGUACCAAAAGAAUGUUUUCCCAUAUAUUCUUUUACACAACUCCAUUCUUUCUUUAUUGUUUGGUUUGAUUUUCCUCUUAUAAUGGUGGUCAAUUUUGCCAUAUUUAUAAAUUCACAAAAUUUGCUCUGCCAAUCCCUUAUUGUUGGGGCUUGUUCCUCUUUCCAUUUUUUUGCAGUCAAGAUCCUGGCAGCUGCUGUUGCAUAUUGGAAUAUAUUUUUCAUACUUUUGGGGAUAUCUUCCAUUACUAAACCCAGAAGGAAAGCUUCUGGUUUUUUCUUAAAUGAUAUUUUAAAUAUCUUUUUUAAUUCUUCAUGUAUAUUGCACCAAAAUAUAAUUCUGCAUCCCUACCAAAUAUGGUACAUUGUUCCUUUUUCCAUUUUACAUCUCCAGCAUAAAUUGGAUUUUUGCAUGUAAAUUCUGGCCAAUUUAUCUAGUGUUAAAUACCAACGAUAUAACAUUUUCAUAAAAUUCUCUCUAAUCGUGUAGCAAGCUGUAAAUUUCAUGUCCUGUUUCCAUAGUCUCUCCCAUUGUUGCAUUUGUACUGAAUACCUAAAAUCAUGGGCCCAUUUUAUCAUAGCUUCUUUGACCUCCUCAUCUUUUAAUUCCCACUCCAAUAAUAAAUUGUGCAUUCUAGAUAGGUUCUUUUGGGGGCUCUUCAACAAUUCUGUUUGUAAUUUUGACUCCUGUUCUUCAAAUCCAUUUUUUUUAUCUUGUUUAUAGAAGUGAGCAAUUUGAUGAUAUUGUAUCCAACGAGAGCAGUAUUGUUUGAUUUCCUCAGAAGAUCUUAAUUUUAAUUGACCCUGUACCUCUUUUAACAACUGUUGAUACGUUCCCCAUUCUCUCUCCAUAUUUUUCUUCUUUACCGAUAAAAACCUCCCCUAGUGCCAACCACCAUGGUGUUUUUGUUGUUAAAACCGUGUUUAUGGAAGACAAUAUUACUUGGCUACGAGUGAUUGCCAAAGAAGAAGAAGAUACAUGUGCACAUGCGUACAAUAUGCAUGGUCAAGCACCCCCAGCCACAUGGACAAAGAUUUGCGUUUUCAGCACUUACAAAUGUAGACCAGUAGGUGGGCAGUCUGCAGAUCAUGUGUGUGUGUCAGAGACAGGGGAGAGUGAGAAGACAGAAUAGUACUUCUCACAGCUGUCCAGUACACAAAUUGUAUCAAACUGUUUCUGAAAUUGCCUACAACAAGUACAACGUCCCUUUCCAUGUUCAAAGAAGCUCACUUUUGGCACAAUGUGAUUCAGUUCCUUCAUGAUUUGCUGCUCUACUCGUUGUUUAAUCUCCAUUUCAAACAUACCUUUGAUUUAAACAUGCUUGUUUGUGGGUUAUUUUAAGUAAGAUGUUUUCGGUAAUCAAGAUGCUAAACUAUGUUUUGCAGUUAUUACAUCUAUUGCAUUGGUGGUGGUUGAAAGCAAACUUAUUCCUUCUAUUUCCAUUAGCAUUUGUUAUGGAACUAUUUUUAGAGGUCAUUUGCACAAUUAAGGCCAUGGGGCAAUGUGCAGAUGAUUAGAUGAAAAUACGAAAUUGAAAUCAAUUUAGAAUUUGAACACACUGGUAAUAUGAGUUUCAACAAUCUAUAGUUGUAAUAAUUGUUCCUAUUUUCAUUCACACCUAGAACUAUUAACACUACUGUUGUGUUUCCACCAGGGGCUGGGUCCUCCGACCUGCUGGCAAACUUCCCCAACAAACACAGCCUCUCACCAACAAAACCUUACCACACCAACUGCUUAGAUGAUGGCUGCCGGAUCAUUUUGACUUCCUCCCUACAGGCGACAAAAAUAUUGAGUGUUAUUGAUAUGUUUCAUAUGGAGGGGAACAAUAUACCAUCUAGGUAUAUUGUUGUAAAAUCUUUUUCUUAGCACAAUAUCUGCAAGAGUUCAAACAAUGUUUUUCCACUGCCGGAUCUAGCCGUUUUGUGGCAACAAUUCUCGAAAAUUAGCAUAAAUUUGUCUGCAUAAAUUGACGUUGUAGCUUGCAUUUUCAGUAAUAGAUUGUACCAUCAUAUUCUAUUUAUUUAGAAAAAUUAUAAAUGCUUUAUAAUAAUAAUAAAGCAUGAUGGAGUUUACUUAAUGUAAUAUAAAAUAAUUAUCAAUAAUACACAGAUAAAAGCAGUCAAAACUUAGAAACAAGUAUACAUAGCUAAAGUAUAUGUUUUGUCAGGCUUGCUAAAAAUAAUAAUAGCAGGCAUGUAAAAGAAUAUUGUGUCUACUCAAAUUAACAGGCAGGGAGCUUCACAGCAUAGGUGCUGCCACAAUUCCUCAAAAAUGCAGAAUCCACAUCUUCCUACAAAUCCCUUAAAAAUUUGGAAUAUAAUCACAAUUUCAGCUUCUUUUGUCUUGUGACAUUACCAUUGCGUGGACAGGCGGAGUCCCCAGAUCCCGAGCGGUCCCCCCCCGUCAUGUGGAAUAACGACUCAAGACAACGUGCUAUGGGAUUAAAUUGGCCACAACUUUAUUAAAUUUCAAAUGUGGGUAGACCUUGGCUCAGGCAUUGGGCGUUCUCCCUCCCCAGUCCCCAGCCGGGGACCUAGGGAGCUUCAGGCUUAUCCAGUGUGUGGGGGGGGAUGGGCCGGCUCUGGAGAACAUAUGUUCAAGCAGAGAUAGCCACCCCCGUUACGCCGCCGCCGCAGGGGAGAACAAUGAUGACCUUUCGGGGUACGGUCAAAGCCUCCCUUCAGAAACCCCUUUAACGGGGAACCCUGGUAUCGCCGCCUCAAAGAGGAAGAUGGACUAAAGGAUUCCGCCCAAGGCCUGAUACUGCCAAAGUUGUGAUGUUUUGCUACAGGAAAGGCGAAACCUGCCAAUGCAGGGAAAUUCCUUUCUGGCCCUUUAACAGCGACCUUAUCGUAGCAGCGCCAGCAUACCUGUGAAGAAAAGUUAACCUGCAAAACCUAUGAAGAAAAGUUAACCUGCAAAAUAAGACAUUAACUGAGGGUGGGUAGGGUGGGUGAAGCUCUGGAGCCAAGUGAGGAUUCCCAGGUAAGAUCCUCCCUCUAUUGUGUGGGCAGGUAAUCCCUCCCCCUACCUGGCCUGGUCUCCUUGGCAACGCUUCCCCCAGGUGGGAUUGGACAACUGACUGAGGUAGGCGGGGACCUCCAGGUAUCCCACCUGAGGGAAGGCAAAGCCAAGCCUAUGCUGAUGGGGCCGCUCCAGAUCCAGGGCUGCGCGCGUCCGCACAAAGGGCACCCCCCGUUUUAAGUGGGGAGCGGUCAUUACCAUUAUUAUUAAUGUUGCCAAUUAUCUGAAAGUAUUGAAACAAAUGUGGCUUUUGCCCACCUGUUUUCAUUACAACAUCUUUUUUGUAGACAAUUUUUUUACCAAUCAUUCAAAUACCCAAGCGAUUACUGUGAUACCACACUAUGAAUCUGGAUAACACAACAUAAUUUUGGAUGACUAGAAUUCACCCAAACAUUCCUGAAGCAUAUAAAGAUGGGAGAUGGUUAGGGCAGUAAUUAAUUAGUAUCAUGGGGGGACUGAAAGAGUAUAAUUAAGGAGAGCUCAAGUGAGUUUAGAAUAUAAGACUAUAGUAAGCAUUUCAUACUAAUGGGGAUUAUUAGUUAAUGUUGGUUGCGACCUCUGAAUAUGGUGAUUUUGGCAAUGCUACAUCUGAUGGACAAGCAAAAUAAAAAUUACAGAUGUGGGAUACAGUCAUUCCCAUUAGUGAAAUUAAUGGGAGCUGAGCUGCUUUCAAUGGAGUCACAAUUAGAGCCCUGGUCAUCAGACUCCGGAGAUUUGUAAUAAGUCAAAGAUGCAAUUUGUUGCUUGCUUCCUAAUUUGAUAUGGGAUUAACAUAACUUACUACAUGUGAUAGCUUUUGGCUACAUGAUGUGGAAUCAAUCAGCUGCUCCUGCCUUGUCACUUCAGAACCCCAGGCUGUUAUUAAUGGCUAUCUUUACUAGUGUGCAUUGUUACCAAUCACAGCAUAAUUACAAAAGGAUCAAGAAGGAGCGAUGGAUUCAUUAUUGCCUCAUUGCUCUAGGCAGGUCUUCAAAAGAAGGCUGAUGCAUAUAACCCAUUAGAUCAUGUCAUAUACCCUUUCUACAUUGUCUCUACAUGUGGCACAAAUCAAUGUCCUUGUAUAAUAAUAAUAAUAAUAAUAAUAAUAAUAAUAAUAAAUAACAACUUGCCCAUCUGACUGGGUUGCCCCAGCCACUCUCCCUGACAUCAUGUCAUAUUGUUUGCGAGCCACAAAGUUCUCAGGAGAACAAUAAAACACACUGACACGGAGUAUUUUGCUUUAUGGGUUCAAAUAGGCUACAACUUUAUUGGUUACAGAUGUGAGCAGUUUGGCUUAGGCACUGGGGUGAAGCCAGGCUAUAUCUUGACCCCUGCCUGGCUGCAGGGAGUCCACAGAAGGGUAAACCACCAAAUAGGGGCAUCCUGAGGGGUCUCUGUAGGGGCUGUGACACGACCCUAGCCCAUGUCUGGACUUCAGAUAGAAUCCACACCCUGGAUCCCUUUAAUAGGAUACCCUUACUGAGGAGGGGCAGGCCAAGGCAACAUUACCUCCCUCCAACCAAACAAAGACUUACCCAAUGCCUAACCUUAUGAAAGUUGUGACAAUUGCUACUAGGUAGGCGAAAACCAAAUGGCCAAUUUGCCAAGUGGGAAAAUUCCUACCUGGCACCAAAAACAUGGCGACCAACAAUUCCCAAAGCAAGGUUAUAUUUCAUCCUGUUUCCUGUCUUUGCCUUCAUUUCUCCAGUUCUUCUACAUCAGGGGUGGCCAACUCCCAAGUGGCUGUGAUCUACUUUCUGAAUUAAAAUCUGGCAGGGGGUGUUUCAGGUCAAAGUUGUUGAGCUUUCUUUAGGGACAAGGAAAGCCCUGUUUUUUAGAGGUUCAGGUCAUAGUUGUCCAGUGAUCUACCAGUAGAUCACCAUCUACCUGUUGGACAUACCUGUUCUACAUCAAGCAAUCUAAAUAUGAUGUUCCCUUAUACAGUGGUACCUCAGGUUAAGUACUUAAUUCAUUCCGGAUGUCCGUACAUAACCUGAAACUGUUUUUAACCUGAAGCAUCACUUUAGCUAAUGGGGCCUCCUGCGGCUUCUGCGCCGCCGGAGCACUAUUUCUGUUCUCAUCCUGAAGCAAAGUUCUUAACCUGAAGCACUAUUUCUGGGUUAGCGGAGUCUGUAACCUGAAGCGUAUGUAACCUGAAGCGUAUGUAACCUGAGGUACCACUGUACAACCCAUUCUCUUUCACUGCAUCUCAGUGUCUUCUAGAAUUCUCUCUCUCUCUCUCUCUCUCUCUCUCUCUCUCUCACACACACACACACACACACACACAGAGAGAGAGAGAGAGCGCGCACUACAUGGUGCAACAAACAAUUCAUAUCAGAUGAGGAAGUUCUGUCUACUUUACCUUCUGUGAUGUUGACACCUUGAGUACUAUUUUUAGAAAGCUUUAAAGAACAUGAUGAUUUGAUUAAAAUUGGGAAAGCCAGAGGGUGAGGUUUAUGGAUUUCAUUAAGCCAAACCACCACCUUUGCUUCCAUUAUUCAGGCACAGGUGCCAGUUUCCCCUUUCUUCAAAUAUCUCAUUUGAAACAAUAAUUUGCUACAGAAGCCAAUCACACUGGGUGUGAUGAUCUAGUGUCAUAUUAACAUAGCUCCUGUAGGGAGAGAUAAGUAUUUGAAGGCAAAUAUGACAUGUUCGGAAAGCUCAGGCUGGAUGACAGUUGUCAUUUCAUUUCACCUAUUAGCAAAAUCUGAGGUGAUUUUUGAGCAAAUUGCCUGAUAAACUUCAAGGGAAGUUAAAAAAAUGAAAAAAUGCCAGUAAGACUAGCAAAAUGUCUUAGGUGCCUCUGAAUAUCACCUUAAGGAACAUUUGAGGUGAAUUUGGAGGGCCCUGUUCAGGAAAAAUAUAUGAAGAAUUUCAAGCAUUUCAGAGAUAUUAGAAUAAAUUAUUGGGUGGAGGGAGAAAUUCACAUGAAUCUUUGGAAUGGGCAAAAAGUCUCUAUGAAAUAACAUUUUGAAGUAAAAGCGAUACUUUGAUUUAAAAUGCAUAUACAACACCUGCUAGUUUUUACAAAUGCUUGCAUUAUUAUUUUUUACAUAAGGCACUAAAUACUGAAAUCAACGAGUUUCCUUUUCCCUUUUUUAACUUUUCAUGCAUUUAAUCUCAUGGGUGUUUUUCUUGUCUUGUUAUGCAUUGUUCUUCCAUUUAGUUGCUGGCAUUUUCGACUUUUUCCCCCCUCCAUAACAAAACUUCAUGUUUAAGAAACAGUGCUGUCCAAUUAAUCUGAUUAAUUAGAUAAAUGUUGCAGCCCUGUUAGUGAAUGUACCCUGGGUGAUGCAAUGAAUAUUCAAACACUUCAACAGAGGGAGUUAAAGUUUUGGAAAACCCUAUACUCUCUCAUGCCAAGCUUGCAGGGAGAAAUUACAAGCAGCAAACUAUAGCUCUCAGCAAACAAGUGAUAAAAAUACAGAGUACUUUCCACUGGCAUCAAGUUUUUCAUCCGUAGCCAUUAAAAAUAUAUACAGUAUAAGAAAAGGCAUGAGGAAAUGGAGAUAAGCAAUUGUUUGCACCAGGCAAUCGUUUGCAUGUCCCCAAAGAAACAACAGGGUUUGAUGGCAGCAGCAAUUGCGACCCAACCUGUCUCCUCUCAAUUUCCUAUACAGUAAUGUGCGUCAUGAUCCAUUUCCUGAUUGGCCCAGGAUUCUCCCUCAGGAAAAAACAAAACCUUCACGUGGCCUUUGAAUGCAUGUUAGUUAGCAUGUGUGCUGGCAGCAAACAGUGGGACUAGCAACCCUGUUGCAGACCCCCCAAGUGUCCCUGUUUUCCAGGAACAGCUCCAGAAUCGUCAUGUUUUCCUAUUUAAUCCCGGAAUACCCUGCUUUUCCUUAGGAUGUCCCUAUUUUCACUGGAGAAAUGUUGCCAGGUAUAGAGUUAUGCGACCCCUAAGCCAAGGAGAUAAGAAACUAUACAACCUUUAGAAGACAUCUGAAGGCAGUCCUGUAUAGGGAAGUUUUUUAUGUUUUAUUAUAUUCUUAUUUAUGUUGGAAGCCACCCAGAGUGGCUGGGGCAACCCAGUUGGAUGGGCAGCAUAUUAUUAUUAUUAUUAUUACAGUGGUACCUUGGGUUAAGUACUUAAUUCGUUCCGGAGGUCCGUACUUAACCUGAAACUGUUCUUAACCUGAAGCACCACUUUAGCUAAUGGGGCCUCUUGCUGCCGCCGUGCUGCCAGAGCACGAUUUCUGUUCUCCUCUUGAAGCAAAGUUCUUAACCUGAAGCACUAUUUCUGGGUUAGUGGAGUCUGUAACCUGAAGUGUAUGUAACCUGAAGCGUAUGUAGCCCGAGGUAUCACUGUAUUAUUAUUGUUGUUGUUGUUGUUGUUGUUAAGUAGGAUGUCCCUAUUUUCCUCAGAGAAAUGUUGGAGGUUAUGCUAUUACUCCCUUUACAAACACACGUGAGUGGAAUCAUGUGAGAUAAGGAGCACACUCAGCUUUGUAUCUGGUGGAAAAUUGGAGAGAAAUAGAAGUUUGGAGAGUUUAAUCAGCCACCCUUUAUCCUUCAACUAUGUUUCACGGGUCUUGUGCAUUCAUAAAAUAUUUUAAAAUGCAAGCAGUUAUUGCACAACAACAAACUGACUUUCCCCUUAUAAGAAAUCCUUGCUGCAUUCACAAGCUUAUCUGGAAGCACCUUGUUUGUGAAGAAUUUAUAGGCCUGGUUUAUUUAUAGAACACUAUGAAAGUUAUGUACCACAGACACCAUGUAGCGAGGGCUGAAUAAUGGCAGAGGAGGUAUUGUAUUCUUUUAUUUUAAAAAAAAUCACCAGACAAAUCCGUUGAAAUGGUCUAAAAUUGAUAAAGACUGUAAUAAACUCCAACACCUGUUCAUUGCCUUAAAUGAAUCCCAAUUUAUCUCUGUGUUCUGUUAGCUCCAAGAAGUGAGAAGUGUACACUCUGAGGACAAACCCACCGAACAGAUGCUUUAUGCUUUGGCAUAUUAAAUUAUGUACGGCACCUGAAGAUUUUUCUUCAUUAACGUGCAAAUUGCAUCAGAAUUUCACCACAAAUUUGUGUCUGUCCUGUGCUCUAAGGAAAUGACACACACACAUUUAAUCUCAUCUUGAAAUGUAGAAAUAAUGACUGCAGAAUGGCUCAUGUUUCCCAGUUCCUUCUGAGAGUCAUCGGGAUAGCAAAAUAGCCUCUCUCUUGACAUUUUGACAGUUGUGAGUUUUGUACCUGCUGUGGGAAGUGCGAGGCACUGGCAAGCCAUCUGUUAAUAUGGAUGGACUCUGUUCCUUAGCGAAAACACAGUGUGACUGUUCAGUAAUGGAGAAAGGAAAUACACUGAGCAUUUGGUUCGCUUUGUAUUAGGUUUCUGCCAAAUAUCUUCCACUUUGGAAUAAUUUGAGGGGGUCGAAAGUGAUAAGUUCACUCUAGUCAAAAAAUCACCCAGAAAAUAUGUUGUAUUUUCUGUCUUAGGUGUCUUAAAAACUUACCUUUCCUGAUCCCAUUCAGUGUUAGGAUUCCUGCUCCGUGUUUGCAGUCAUGAAAUUGUUGUCUAUUACAUAACGGUGUAUGUUUUCAUUCCACAGUGUGGGAAUUGACAGACAGGAUGUUUUGUACUACUGUGUUCUGGAAUGUAGGACUAUUAUCCUUUGUUCUUUCUCUCUUUGCUGUCUGAUGAGAAAGAGGAAGGAACUAAGUUAAAAUGCUCCGAGUAUAUUAUAUGUAAAUAAACGUAGAUUAGCCAAAAUGCUGUGCUACUGAGUUCUGUUACGCAAACUGCAAAUACUCUGCAGGAUCGAGAGUGUGCUGGUGCUUCUUGGUAUCAGUCGCUGUGAUUUUCUGGCAGAAGAAAGCUUUUGAAGCUCCCGAAUGACAGACCAGGAGGGAGAGAACAUUCCAGUUGGGCAUGUGUCUCUACCAAGGUCCUACACGGGACGAUCCUAACAUUCAGUAGCAUUGUUUCCCUUAGUUGGCUGCAGCUGUGUCCUUUGUCCUACCAGUCUCAUAGGUGGUCCCACCCAGUCAUGGAUCACAUAGAGAUGAUGUCACAAUACAACCUCAGUCCUAGGCAAUCAGAUUUGACUUUGUGAAGAUGUCUCCAAAGGCAAAGGAGUGCAGUUGAGGGCCUAAACCUAUGAAGUUUAAACAUGUGGCAUCUUAACCCUUAAAACUGCAAAAACCUUACCCCCAAAACUGCCCAAAUAUAUUUUUCCUUCCCAAUCCUAAAAAUAAUUGUGCACCCUCAACAUGCUCAGUUAGCUAAGUUGGCAUUUAGUUAAAUAGCCUGAGACAUCAUAGGCGGUCACAUAAAUCAAUUCUUUCCACAAGUAGUAAUUUGCCUACCAUGGUGUAGGAUUGCACACAGUAUAUUCUGAUAUUUGCCUAUACCACAGUAAGCUUGGAGGAAAUGUACAUGGGCUUCUUUGACUUAUUGUGUUCACAUUGAAUUUGGCUUGUCAAUUGCCAUGUUUCAAAGUGAUAGCCAAUGAAGUAAUUAUGAUAACUCAAGAGUAAUCAGAAAAUGAUUCUUUAUUGCUGUUGCAGGAAAUGGAUUAUUUAUGGAUUUGGGGCUGGUUUUGUCCAGGAGAACAGAUUAUGCACCUAUACUUAAAGGGCCAGGAUUUCAGCCCAAGCCACCAAGCCUUGCUUGCCACCUUUCUUAUGCUCUCAGUAAAUGAGAAAUUAAUUUCUGGGAGGAUCAUUUCUUCCCAAGAGCAUUUCUUGAAAAGCCCAACAGGUGUUUUCUUUUCAAGAAAUGAGUGGGCUGCAUUUUGAAGGUCCCACUGAGUGAUUUGGUUUGCAGCAAAAUGUGUGCUCCCUUCCUCUUGUUCCUUUGUUUGGAAUGCAGCCAAGUCAAGUAUUCAUGCAUGGGGAAAGUGAGGAUGACAGCUUUGGACAGGAGGCUGAUGCUGGGCUUGUUCUUGCUGCAUGCAGCUAUUGGCACUGAAUGUCAUGCAAAGGUCAUCAAGAUAUGUGGAAUGAAAUGGCCAUCUUAAAAGCCUAGAAUGUUGAAGGAGCAGCGCUAGAGACUGACCAUUAAACAUCUUUCAGCAUUCACCAUCAGCAGGAAUUUUGUCCAGCAGCAAUAUUAUACAUCAGAGCAACAGCCAGCUCAACGAGGACAAUUGCUAAGGUGCUUUAAACAGAGAGAAACCCUCAUAUGCUUACUUUAUGUUUGGGUGGAAUCAGUGUGGAAACAUGAAAAAUUAACUUCCUUCAUGCUGUCGGUGAAAAGAUGAACCUCAUGAUCCUGUGCCAUUGAUUUAACUGGUGUAUACUAAUGCAAGCUUGUUUAUAUUCUCCACGUACACAGAGAGUAUAAUUAUAAACACCAAAUGUUAAGGCAAAAAUAGGAGACAUGCUUGUGAGCUCCUAGAGGGCUCUCCAGACUGUUAUGUUUUGUGGGUCCAUUCUGCAAUGUGUCAUUGUGCAAUAAUAGUGUGUUAAUGGUGGAUCAGACUGGACUGUCCACAGAUCAUUCCACUCUAUUCUGUAAUGCUUCCCCAAUGUUACUGCAUUGUUACCAUGUGGAGAAGAAUUAUUUGGCCACAUUCACACCAUAAGAAUAUUGGAAGCUGUAGUUUUCAAACAGUGCUGGGAGUUGUUAGGAGCCCCUAUUCCCCUCCCAGAACUACAGUUCUCAGAGUGGUUUAACAGUCAAUCCCUCAGUCAGCAGGAAGUUUGGGGACAUGGAAGCACAGCAGUAUGUCGACUCUGAAACUUUGGCAGGUACGUACUGUACUGCAAGUGGGGUCUUGGUUAGCCACCCUGAUACUAUCAUGAGCUCAAAUCAUAAUGAAUGCACCAUAAAAAGGGUAUCUGGAGGAGCUUCUGGCUGGUGAUGGUUGGAUACGGAAGGCUGGACUAGGUAGGCCUUGAGUCUGAUCUAGGAUGGCAGUGCUUACAUUCUUAAGGCAAGUGGAGAAGAGCAUUAGCUUGGCUGGAACACAGACAAACUCCAGGACCAAAGAAAGACAUAUUUAAAUCACAUGUGAGCCCAUGACAGCUUAUCAUUUAAAAUGAAAAGCAAUAUGGGUGGAUAAGCCCCUUGCUUUGCACGGGACUACCUGUCCUUUUGCUGCUGCUACCCUGGCACAGAAAUGCCUGCUCUCCAAUAUGAGAUCUCAACCUUGUCUCCUGGUCUGGGGCAAGACUGGGUAAAAAACAUUUCCAGCUCUAUUACAAGCAAGAUUCUAAACUCUGCUUAGUUAAAAGAUCCUUAGAAAAAGCUGAGUGUAUCACUUUUCUAAAUGCACAUCGCAGAAAUUCCUUGAGCAUGCUACUUAUUUACACCUUUGCAGGAUAAUCAGGAUUCAAAUGAGAAAGAAAAGAUAUAUGCUUCAGUCAUCCAGCAAAAAACAUGCAUGUGUAUGCUCUCUUAAACAUUAGGUGAUUUCUUUUGCUACAUUAGAUAUUUUUAAUUCUUGGCAGCGUCUUCUUCUUCUUCUUCUUCUUCUUCUUCUUCUUCUUCUUCUUCUGUCUAUUCCUUUGAAACUUCUCAAGAAGCAUGAUGAUGAUGAUAGCUUUAAUGUACCCUCUGUUGUUCUGCACCCAUUCCUAGACCCUGUCUAUUUCCUUUGGGAACUGCAGUAACUGAAGUGUUUAUUUUUGAAGAAAAUGGGUAUAGUGGCAGCUGCUACAUUAGCAGUUUGGGUGAUAAAUGAAACCUUUAAUGUUUUGUGAAGUUUUAUAUAAUAUGUGUGUGUGUGUGUGUGUGUGUAUAAAUUUUCAAUGAGUAUGCAGAUAAGCUGAGCCAUACUGAAAUGCAAUGGACUUUGCAAGAGGCCAUGGGAUUUGUUUUGCUGCUUAGAAGGUGAAGAAAUCGCCAUAGCAUUUGGCAGUAUUCCAGCACCAGGUUGCUGAGGCCCACUUGCGAUUUAUGGAAGGCAAGUGAUACAAACAAGAUUCCACAAACCAACCAUCUGAAAUGACUGGGGAGAAAUCCAUCAUGGUUCCUGCGCUUCAAGUCGGGAAAUCCACGAUGGUCUUGUUAUGUUUUAUAGUGCUGAAGCACAAACUGAAUCAUUUGUUGUCCCCCAUGCCCAUGUUGAUUUAUGGUGCAUUACACAAACAUGUAACCAGCAGCAAAUCACAUUCUGCACAUGCCACUAGUGUCAGAUGUAAAGAAACUCCUGGCCAAGGAAGGGCUGAGAUAUGCAAACACUCCGAGAAUUUCUAAGCUAAAUGAAAAGUUUUGGAAAGACUAGAGACAUUUCUUUGAGGGCUUCCAUACGGUGAGGGGCUGAAAGCAGAACAGCCUGAAAAACAUACAUUGUGUUAUAUAAAUCCGCCUACCUCAGCUUGUUUUCAUAUCAAGAAGGAUUAUUUUCCCCAUCAAAUCACCACCCUUUCCCCUGCCCACUAGGUUUCACACAAAGUGAAUUUGAACUUUGGGUAUAACACUCAGGGAAGUUUGAUGGAAGGAAAAGAGUUUCUGUGACCUACUUGGAGAGAAACACAUGUCUGAUUUUGCUUAUGAAAUUAUGUAAAAUGGACAUAUUGUUAUUAGUCCAACCAUAGAGGCAAACUAAGAAACUAUUGGCAUUUCCCUAAUUCUAAGAGUCCCUGGUUAAGUUAUGUUAUGAAAGAAGAUCCACUACCUGGAUUUUUGAAGGAUGCGCAUGGAGACAGCCGAGCAGAUAAUUGGCUAGGUAAUAUUCCCUACAAUCUGGGAAACUUGACUGGGCCCACAGCAAGUUGUAAAAAAAGGCAGACAUUAAAAAUUAAAAUAAAAUAUGGUAUCCUCGUUAAUUUACAAUCAUGUAUACUGCAAUUCUAUGCACAUAUUUUCCAGGCAGUAAGUCACACUGAAUUCUUUAACACAAUCUGCAUAGAUAUGCCUAGGAUUGUGCUGUCAGUGAACUCAGCAUAUCAUGAGACUCAAUAGGCAGAAAGCAAGACUAGUCUUAGGCAGAGUCAGGCAGUUGCCACAGGCAACUGAUUUUCAACAUCAUGAAAGGGCGUUUCCGACUGGAUGUUCUGUCUUAGGUACCAUAAUAAUUAGAUUAGCUAUGGGACGCGGGUAGCGCUGUGGUCUAAACCACAGAGCCUAGGGCUUGCCGAUCAGAAAGUCGUGAUUUGAAUCCCCGUGACAGGGUGAGCUCCCAUUGCUCGGUCCCUGCUCCUGCCAACCUAGCAGUUCAAAAGAACGUCAAAGUGAAAGUAGAUGAAUAGGUACCACUCCAGCGGGAAGGUAAACAGCGUUUCCUUGCGCUGCUCUGGUUCACCAGAAGUGGCUUAGUCAUGAAGGCCACAUGAUGUGGAAGCUGUACGCCGGCUCCCUCAGCCAGUAAAACGAGAUGAGCACCGCAACCCCAGAGUCGUCCGCAACUGGACCUAAUGGUCAGGGGUCCCUUUACCUUUAUGGAUACAUACUAAGUACCUUGACUUGGAGCAUUAACAAAACAUUGACCACAUGGGCUAUUGAAACAUGUUUGAUAGACGGAAUGACAUUUUACCUGAAAAUCAGAUUGUAUUCUUAGUGGCAGUAGUAUGGCAGGGAAUUUUGUUAUAUUAGAAGAUCAACCCUGUUUCAUUGAACUUUGGUGUCAAAGGGCUUUGACAUUGACAGGAAAACUCACACACAGAAUCUGAUGAAGAAACCAGUUAAACAGGACUCUGCCUGCCAUCUUGAAUUUGUUGAAUGAAUGUAUUCUUUUUCUCUUGUAUUUUCUUUGUUGCACAACAGACCUCUUUGAUUCAUACUUUUUUUGAGAUUGCACACUUAUUUUUUAUCUGAUCCUUUUAGAUUGCUAUGGAUUGUUAAAAAUGCAUUUGUUUGUGUAAUUUUCCUUGUUUUGGAUUGCUAAAAAUGUUUUUGUUUUUUCCUUCUGGCCAACUGUGUUACAAAGAUAACUCAUGGUCUGUAAAUAAGAUGAUGAUGACUUAAUAAAAGUUAACAAAAGCAACAUAUUAAUCUGCCUAUAGCUGCAAACACACACACACACACACACACACACACAAACACACACAAAUCAACAAACAAAUGACAACGACAAAGAAAUUGGAGUGGUUUAUGCGCACAAGAAUUCCAUAUCUGUUUUAGUAGAAGAAACAUUAUAAUAGUACAUUCAGGUAGGUAGCCGUGUCGGUCUGACACAGUUGAAAUAAACAAAAAAUUGUCCAGUAGCACCUUAGAGACCAGCUAAGUUUGUUCUGGGUAUAAGCUUUUGUGUGCAUGCACACUUCUUCAGAUACAUUGAAACAGAAGUCACUAGACCCUUAUAUAUAGUGGGAGGGUGGGGUGGGGUUUUUCUCAGAAGGGUGUUAGGAGAUGGGUGAUUGACUCAAUGGGUAUGAUAAAGCUGCUGACGACUGUUAACAACUGCAAUUAGUCCUACAGGAAAAAGCAAGGGAUAGUAUGCAGAUGACCAAAAAAUAGCUUUAGCAUAUGUAAUGAGACAAGACGUUAUAGUAGUAGUCCCACUGCAUUGUAAUUUGAACCAAAGGGCACGAUCAACCCCUGGGUUCCAUGCAUGUAAAGAUUGUCCGAAGGGAUGGUUCUAGUGACACUAAUUCUGCAUUCAGUCCCCAAAUGCCUGUCCCUAUUGGAUUCAGUCAGCUUUACUAUGGCUGCACCAGAUGUAUCAAGCCAGAUUUGUGGGCAUUCCCAUGCUGACCCUGUCUCCUUUCCUGUCCAAGGCAGAAGAACUUACAACAAAACACUGUGCAAUACUGAUUGCUCCCUUUUAAAAAUCAAAAUUGGAUUAACAGAUCUAAAAUCACAUUUUUCUACCACAAGAAGAUUCCUCAACUGCAAUACAUCACAUUUUCACUUGGCUUUGUGACAUCUCAUUUUUUAAAAAAAAUGCUUUUUGAAAAAUUAUUAUAUGAUUGACCACAGCACAGUUAUAUCUAUAACUAUUGAUUAGCCAAAAUAUUUAUUUUAGAAGUGUUCAGAGCAAAGCUUGAUUAAAAAAAAUGCAUUUAGGUCCGUUUAGAUGACUCAGGAGAACACAUUUAUUAAAAAUUGAUCUUUGAGUGCAAAAAGUUUAUGACAGGGACAACUUAGUUAUAAUUAUCACAUUACAGUAAUUAGAAAAUGAAGUGUACAUAAUGCAUGGCUUUUUCACCCAAUACCGGAUGUGAGGAAAGGGAAGAGCAGUGAUUUCGUCUCUUUUCAAGCCUCCACAGUUACCAGAAGACACUAAGGUUGAACUAUCUGGAUGUGGAGACAGCUCAUGGACCUCCAAGCAAGAGAGACACCAAACAUCCAAAUUAUAAUAAAAUAUGAUUAUUAAUAAUGUUAUUAUUUAUACCCCGCCCAUCUGGCUGGGUUUCCCCAGCCACUCUGGGCAGCUCCCAACAAAAUAUUAAAAACACAUAAAACAUCAAACCUUAAAAGUUUCCCUAAACAGGGCUGUCUUCAGAUGUCUUCUAAAAGUCAGAUAGUUGUUUAUGCCGGGAGCGGCGUGGUGCUUGAGUCCUCUGCUUUCCCUGCCGAGCGCAGCCGCAUGCCAUUCGACGGAGAGCGCUGACUUCUUCCAUUGAAAAUUUGGACUAUUAACAACAACCCGUGAGUAAUUGGGAAACCGGGUUCAAAUUUCGGAUUGGGCACGAGCGGGGGUGAUUUAAAAAGGAAGUCAAUCCCCCCCCCUACUGUAAGCAUUCCAAAACAAGGACUGGGUAACCAAGGUCCAAAGGGAAGUAUAUUCUUGAUAAAAACCAUUAAUUUCACGAUGGGAAAUUAUAAGAACUGUGCUGGAGGAGAAGAGUGGAGGGUGAGAAGAAAAAUGCAACCCCCCCCCCCUGGGAACCGGGGCGAUUCAUGGAGCCUGGUGAAGAGAGACGGAGACUUUGACAGCUGUCAAAGUGGCUGUCAAAGUUGGAGAAUAUAAAGAGGACUUUGUUAUGAGGACUUUGCCGGUUAAUUUUGCUACAAUUUGCUACAAUAUGGAUAUAAACUGUUGGAAAAUAAGCAACAAUUUGACUUUUGGAUUAGAGGAUACAAAGUUAUUACAAUCCCCCUAGAGGGGUUUCGGGAUAUUACAAGAACGGUCGUAAGUGGAAAAAUACUCUGGGAUUCGCACAGGACUUGUUAUCUUUUGGGAAAGCUGCAAAACUGAAAUAGUAUUUUGUCUACAGAGGUAUUUACAUUAAAGGAGACAAUAGAAUUUUCUAUUGAAGAAAGGAAGGGACUGGACGUAAGUUUUUGUUCCUGAAUAACAAACCUCUGCAGAGAUACCAGAUUUCUGAAUUAGAAAGUUUUAGCAGCUGAACAGGACAAGAAACCUGAGAAAGUGAGGAAAAGAAGAACAAAGGACUGAUUACGACACGGAAAGAACAACGGGAGGAGUGGUAAAGAUCAAGGAAAUUAAAGGCCUUUGUUAGAUUGGACACUUGAAGUUACAUAUUAUUAAUAAAUUAAAAGAAAACCGGCAAGAUGGAAUCGGGAGAAAUUUGGUCAUGAAUUGAGUCAGAUAGUUGUUUAUUUCCUUGACAUCUGAUGGGAGGGCGUUCCACAGGGCGGGUGCCACUACCGAGAAAGCUCUCUGCCUGGUUCUCUGUAACCUCGCUUCUCUCAGUGAGGGAAGCUCCAGAAACCCCUCGGAGCUGGACCUCAGUGUCUAGGCAGAAUGGUGGGGGUGGAGACGCUCCUUCAGGUAUACUGAAAGAAUAACAAAGCUCUCUUCAUGCAGUAACCAUACAAAGGACUAAAGUAUGAAUCAGGGAGAGUGACAGUGUGCUUCUGGUUUGGACACUGAUGCAGCUGCCUGGCUUCUCCCCUCUAGUUUCUGCAUAUUCAGCAAAGGUCUGAUGUGGGAGUCAGCUGUACCCAUAUACCUCAGAAACCCUGUGCAACUGGGGCUCCCAACUGUGUGUGGAGUCAAACGCACAGAGUUUAGAAGGGCAAAGCCAAGUCGCAAUGCAUAACCUCACAGGAGCGGCUAAUGAUAUUCCUCUCCAUUUUCUCUUCAGCUAUAAUGCAAUGAUCAGGGUCAUGAAGUGAUGGAAUUUCCCCCUAUUUGGAAAGUAGGUUGGGAGUUGAGGAACUUGAUAGAUUCAAAGAAAAAUCAAAGAAAUCCUGGGAAUUAUAUAUUCAGCACCAAUUGUAUGCUAUAUGGUAAUUUAUGGACCUAAUAGGUACCUAAAGCGAUUUGCACAUAACAAAUAGGAGCCUACACAACAAAAACACUGUUGCUGUAUGUAGGGUUUAUUUUACAGUGGUAAGGUAAAGGUAAAGGUACCCCUGCCCGUACGGGCCAGUCUUGACAGACUCUAGGGUUGUGCACCUCAUCUCACUCUAGAGGCUGGGAGCCAGCGCUGUCCGCAGACACUCGGUCCAUGCCAGCAUGCGCUGCCAGCACCGGCACUAGAGCAGCUCACAGAACGCACAUCAUACCUUCCCGCUAGAAGCGGUACCUAUUUAUCUACUUGCACUAGUUGUGCUCAACUGCUAGGUGGGCAGGAGCUGGGACCGAACGACGGGAGCUCACCCCGCUGCGGGGAUUCAAACCGUCGACCAUGCGAUCGGCAAGUCCUAGGCGCUGAGGUUUUACCCACAGCGCCACCCGCCUCCCUCAUUUAUUUUUUUAUUUUUUUUUACAGUGGUACCUCAGGUUAAGUACUUAAUUCGUUCCGGAGGUCUGUACUUAACCUGAAACUGUUCUUAACCUGAAGCACCACUUUAGCUAAUGGGGCCUCCUGCUGCUGCUGCUCCACCGGAGCACAUUUCUGUUCUCAUCCUGAAGCAAAGUUCCUAACCUGAAUUGCACUAUUAUAAGUUAGGGAGUCUACACACCUGAAGCGUAUGUAACCCGAGGUACCACUGUAUUUGUUUUUUAUCUUAUAUUUUGGAUAUGUACAUCCAGUUCCACCCCCUUUAAUUUUCUUUAAUUUUAAUUUACAAAGGACAGCUGGACGUAUAAAAGGGCCCCAUGACCUUCAGUAGUUUAAGGCCUCAUAAAACCUAAAUCUGGCUCUGGAUUCAGCCCAGAAAUGGAUUGGUUUUUCCACUCUUAAAGUGUGUUACAAUCUUGCAGCAUAUCCAAAUCACAGGGGUGACAUGAAGGCGGGAUUUCAUACAGUCAGCACUUCCAUGGAAUCUCAGCCCAGUAGUAAGUGAUCCUGGGGAAUCCCCAAACUCUCUGAACCCCAACUGAUGACCAGAAAUACAAAAUGGUAACAGCAGGGAUGUUUAAGUGGGCCUGGAGUACAGAAAUGAGGUUGCCGAUUAAAGCACAAGGCCCUGAGAGUGCAGUGCAAAUUGCAAAAUAUAUGAAAGGAGCAUCAUUUAGAUAUUUGUAUUCAGUGCAGAAGAGUAAACUGAUUUACAGUUCCUGGCAGAGCCAGAUUAAUUUUUAUUACAUGAACUGAGAUCCUGAAAUCCUAUUAACCUCAGAGGCAGGAUAACUGCUCAUAAUUUGUGAGAAAUAUAGCUUUCAAAGUAACCUGUCCAAAGCAAGUUGAAGAUUUUUGAGCCGCUGCAGGAUGGAAAAUGUAGAUGCUUUAACAUUCUGUACCGACGCAUUUUAAUUUGAGAUUGAAGUCCAUUGGGUCUGCUCCCCAGUCUAAGAAAUGUGGGGUCUGGUCUGGAUAGCUGGCACUAGUGGCAGUGGGGCCAAAGAUGAAUUCAAAUAAUUAAUUUCUCUUCCUUCCUUUGCAUAGAGAUAGAGGGGGAAUUCACAACUGAGCUUGCAUUUGAAACCAAAUCUUUCAAAUUCACUGUUAUGUACUGAAGUUCUCACCCUGGGCCAGCAGGGGGAUACUGUAGAUAGUUUUCACUCAGUCCAUAUAUGCAAAUAAGGAAUUGAAAGUGACGUGCAGUGAUUGGAUAGUUACAGAAAGUUGUUACUGUUGCUUUGUAGUUGAGCUCUAUAUAAACAGGUUGGCUGAACCCUUUAGUUCAGUUCUGUUCUGGCCUGUGAAUAAACAAGAGCUGUCUGAAGAAUCGCUGUGUCAUCUGAUAUGUUCACCCAUAACUUAACAUUCACACUUUCUGAAACAAUAUGAGAAGCGAAACAUAGCCAUCCUUCAAAAUUCUUAUAUAUCCCAAUUUUGUGAUGCAGUUCCAUGGCCAAACAAUGUUUACAAAAAUGUAUAUUUUAGGUGUAAGUGUGGAUGGAAUUCAGUAUAUUACUGAAAAGAACAUAAAAAUGCAUUGUAUUCUGAUUUUUAAAAAAUUGUUUAUUAUUAUAUUUACCGUAUUUUUCGCUCUAUAAGACGCACCAGACCAUAAGACGCACCUAGUUUUUGGAGGAGGAAAACAAGAGGGAAAAAAUUCUGAAUCUCUGAAGCCAGAACAAGAGGGAUCGCUGCACAGCGAAAGCAGCGAUCCCUCUUGCUGUUCUAGCUUCUGGGAUAGCUGCGCAGCCUGCAUUCGCUCCAUAAGAUGCACACACAUUUCCCCUUACUUUUUAGGAGGGAAAAAGUGAGUCUUAUAGAGCAAAAAAUACGGUAUAUCCUGUCUUUUAUCCAGGGAGCUGAAGGGUGAUAUUCAUGGUUCUCACCUUCCCCAUUUCAUCCUCUCAACAACCCUAGGAGGUAGGUUAAGCUGAGAGCACAUAACUGGCCCAAGGUCACCCACUGAGCAUCAUGGCUAAGCAGGGAUUCAAACCUGGCCUUACUGGUCCUAGUCCAACACUCUAACCACUUGUUAUUCAAAACUGCAUAUAAGAAUGUGUUUCUCAAGAUAAAUUCACACUAAAAUGCUGAAGAAUUUUCGUGAAUGUUUUUUAAAGGGGUAUUUUUGAAGGAAUGUGGAGAAACUGAUUUAAGCUUGGAAAAAUGAGAAACUUGCCAAUGAGAGCCAAAAUGGACAGAUUCUUUCAUCCCUAUCUGUACAUGAUGACUUUAGGGCAGAGGUCAGCAAACUUUUUCAGCAGGGGGCCGGUCCACUGUCCCUCAGACCUUGUGGGGGGCUGGACUACAUGGGGGGGGGGAAUGAAUGAAUUCCUAUGCCCCAUAAAUAACCCAGAGAUGCAUUUUAAAUAGAAACACACAUUCUAUUCAUGUAAAAACACCAGGCAGGCCCUACAAAUAACCCAGAGAUGCAUUUUAAAUAAAAGGACACAUUCUACUCAUGUAAAAACACGCUGAUUCCUGGACCAUCCAUGGGCCAGAUUUAGAAGGCGAUUGGGUCGGAUCCGGCCCCCAGGCCUUAGUUUGCCUACCCAUGCUUUAGGGUCUCAGAACUUGGAGAACUUACUGGAUGGUUAAAUACGCAUCUAGCUAAGGAAGCGAUUUUAGUCUUCUUCUUCUUUGGUGAUCACUCAUAGCCGAAUAUGAUUGUCUUCCAUAAACAUGGUUUUAACAGUGAUUCCGUGACUGUGGAGCCCAAUUCUGGAUCCACACGUCCUUCCACGGUGAGGACAUAGGUUUCCUGGAGGGAAUUGAUCACUGUCCCUUCCUCUUAGCAUGUUUCUCCCUUUUGUCCUGAGUUUGAGCAUCUUCAAAGCCCAUUUGGGUUUGGGAUCGGUUUUUGGAAGAUGCCUGUGUGUGAAUUUGUUUUAUGUGUGUAGAUCAGUGCACGCUGACCAACACACAGUCUUCUCAGUAAGGCUCUAUUCUGAUGACAUGAGUAUCACGACUUCAUCCGCCAUCACAGCUGCUGUAACAUACAUGUCCUGCCAUUGAGAACUUCUUGGAUCAUUCUUUGUCUAGCUCCUUCCCUUUGACCUUACCACCUUCGGACCCUGCUGGGAGUACGAGACUCCUAACGGCUUCGCUCACAAGGGUCAUAGGAAUGUGCAAGCCCACUCACAACAACGUGAUGAUCCAGCAAGUGAGAGCCAUUUUAUAACCUAAGUCCUCUUCAGGCUGGACAUAAGAGGGCCUGUGGGUGAAGGAAGCAUGCCCAGUGCAUGGCCAAGAUGCAGGUCCAAGCUGAACACUUGAUAUGGACUCUAUGUUGCCAUAACUCAGCCCCUUACCACCUUGCAGAAGUGACCAAGCUGAAUGGUUUAGCUGCAUCUUUAUGCGAUCCAUCCUGUUCUUGCUUCCCACAAGAUAUUUUGGACAAUAUCAUGGAUGCUAUUACUAGUGGAGUGGCAUGGACUGACUCCAACUGUGCUGAUGACUUCCCAAAUUCUCCUAGCUAAGGCCAACAGGUGUGUGCUACUGCCAGACUGCCAUGUUGUCAAUAGCCUAAGAAGCUUUUGCAGCUCGUAGGAGAUAUCUGCUUGUUCGUUCAUGAGAAACAGGACUCACACGCUCAAAGACGUGCUCGGCUUUGGGGUUGUUGUCCCGCCCCCUUCAUUUUAUCAUUGAGGAGACCUCAUUUUGGCUUCAUCUCCACCCUAUUUCCUUCAGCAGGCAGGAAGGGAAACAGGAGGAGUCAUUAUAAGGCAGAAGGAGAAGAGAGCAGGGCAGGAAGUGAGGAGAUAGGUGACCUUCUGCCCCUAAACUCCCCUCACAUAUUUUGACACUGGACUAUUUUGAAAUCCGCAAACUCGAAAAGCAUUCCUAUAAUUCUUUUCCUUCAGGAGAAAAUAAAAGGGGGGUGGGGAGAGAAAUAUGCAUGGCUGCUACAAAUAAAUAAAUAAAUAAGGCACUCUUUUAUUUUAAUUUAAUUCAAAUAAAUGUGAUGCAAGUCGAGCUAUAAAUUCAUGUAGCAUUCCCUGUGCUAACUGGAUUUCAAUAAAGAUGUUGGCAUAAAUCACUCUUUUUUGCCGAUACACUGUGGCUCAUUUCAGUUAAUCAGCAAGAAAAUAAUCCAGAAAUUACUUGAAAGGCUUCCAGUUAUAUUGAAUGAAAUUUCUAUUCAGUCAGGAAUGCUGGUCAGCGCUUUCUCGCCUCCCGCCAUUAGACACCUCACCAGAGAUCCAUUUUACGCAUCCCGGCCAGUCCCUUGCAACCACUAAUAUCAUGUGGCAGCAUAAAUAUGAAGGUUAUUAAUAUUUUAAAAAUCUAAUUUUCUCUACAUUAUAGCUGUAAUGAAUUUUGAUAUGACUUAGGUGCCGCCAAUUGCAGAUUGUGACAUCUCAAAUGCUUGGCAAUCAGCAUGGCUGAUUGGAUGCGUUUUAAGUUUGAAUAUCCCUGAAGCGCUUGAUUUACCGAGCAAGCAGUUCAUGAUGUAAGCAUGGCUGUGAAGAAAUGGCUUCAAUGUCAUGUGUAUUAAUCUAGAAAUUACCUAAAAGGCUUAAAUAUAAAAACAAGCAAAUAACGAAAUAAGGUGUUAAAAAUAAGCUGUGCUCUAAGGUGAAUGAGCAGCAAGCUGGCGCACCACGCCCCCCAAAUCACUUCACUCCUCCUUUGCCCUCAGCUGAGGGGAAAUAAAUGAAAGAUUGCCUUUGUGUUAUGUGCAAACCAGCUGUCAUGGUUUGUUUCCUGUCAACAAACCACAAGCAGUGAGCCAAGGCAUGUUCACACAUGAUACAAUCCAUCUCUGGCUUGUUUUCUUUGCAGUGUGCUGAAGCAAGGACUAAGGGAAGAGCGAUGCAUGGACUUUUGAGCAGCAUGCCCCAGCACUUUGCUCGCUCACAUUAAACUAUUGUUGUUGUUUAGUCAUUUAAUCAUGUCCGACUCUUCGGGACCCCGUGGACCAGAGCAUGCCAGGCACUCCUGUCUUCCACUGCCUCCCGAGGUAUGGUCAAACUCAUGCUGGUAGCUUCAAGAACACUAUCCAACCAUCUCGUCCUCUGUCGUCCCCUUCUCCUUGUGCCCUCCAUCUUUCCCAACAUCAGGGUCUUUUCCAGGGAGUCUUCUCUUCUCAUGAGGUGGCCAAAGUAUUGGAGCCUCAGCUUCACGAUCCAUCCUUCCAGUGAGCAUUCUGGGCUGAUUUCCUUCAGAAUGGAUAGGUUGGAUCUUCUUGCAGUCCAUGGGAUUCUCAAGAGUCUCCUCCAGCACCAUAAUUCAAAAGCAUCAAUUCUUCAGCGAUCAGCCUUCUACUUGUACUUGUCCUCCGCUCUUCCUCAGUAGCAUGUUGGACGCCUUCCGACCUGAGGGGCUCAUCUUCCAGCGUCAUAACUUUUAUAUGCCUGUUGUCUUUGUCCAUGGAGUUUUCUUGGCCGGGAUACUGGAGUGGCUUGCCGGUCCCUGCUCCAGGUGGAUCACGUUUGGUCAAAACUCUCCACUAUGACCUGUCCAUCUUGGGUGCCCUGCAUGGCAUAGCUCAUAGCUUCUCUGAGUUAUUCAAGCCCCUUCGCCACGGCAAGGCAGUGAUCCAUGAAGGGACACAUUAAACUAUAGUUUCUUUUUAAACUAUGGUUUCAUGUUAUGUGCAAACUGGGCUUAUCUGUCUUGUCUUCACCCCUAAAAAAUAGGUAGUGUUGCCACGAGCUAUUUCUUGAGCUUACUUUCCCACACCUCUUCAUUUCUUUUCAGAUAGGGUGGAUUUUAUAGGCACCUGCUUGCCACGCAAGAUAUACCAGCACCCUUUUUCUAAAGACACUUUCCUGAUGCUUUUUUUGUGUGUGAAAAUGAAGUUCUCUCUAGCAGGAGAGGGUUCAGAUAGUUUGCUGUCCACAGGCAACCAAAAUUGCCACAACAUAAGACAGCAAAUAACCACGUGGGAAAGAAAGGAGGAAUGAAGGAUUCUGCAGGCUAAAGAAGCACUCAGUUUUAGACAACUGUAGAGUUGCAAGACAAGUUUGAUCUGUUAGGAUUCCAAUAUGAAAUAACUUGAUCCUUUACUUCCAGGCAGCUGUAUUGACUGCAACAGUUUUGGACCAAUCUCAAAUUUCAGUGGUGCCCUGUGAAGUGGUGCAUCUCAAAUUUCAGUGGUGCCCUGUGAAGUCAUACUACAGCUACAGAUUUACUAAUCAUAAAUCAGGACAAAAAAACAUGUUGUAUUUCUCUCAUGUCAUCUGAGAGAGAACAACAAAAGCAAAAAGAUAUACACAAAUGGAAGUUCCCAGCAUACUAUGCUGGAGUGUAAACAGACAUGUGACAUGCAACAAUCCACAUGUCUGUUCCUUAAGGUGGAACGGAAUUCCCAACCUCCUCCCCCCCUUUCCGUGUAACCUGUGGUGCAGUAUUUCAACUCAACUGCAACCACGGUGCAUAAACCUCACGCCUAUUCUGUGUGCACAGUACACUCUGCUAAUAGCGUGCCAUGGCUUCUGAAAUCUGGGUCGCUGAUUUACGUCAGAGCACGGGCCGAUGGAUGGAGACGGCACAGCUGGAGCUUAUCAGCUGGCCUCCCGGCCCUCUGCAUGUCGAUGCCUGUGUGAUGCCAGAAUCUAGCACACUCCCCAAAAAGCCUCUCGUCUUCCAUUGGAUGUCAUAGUUGUACAGACCCCCAAAUCUCUUAUUCACUUCCAUCUUAUGCCAAAGUUUUGUACUAAGUUUCCUGUUUCAAUCCAUAAAAUUCUGCUUUGGAAGCCCAGGUGACCUCAGUGCUGAGAAGUUCUUAUGCAAAAUUAUGGCUGAUUGACUAAUUAUGGCUGUUCCUAGACUGUCAUGGCUGAGCAUCAAUGAUCCAUACUCUGAUAGUUUAGGAUUACUGAACCCAAUCCUCAACCCAAGAGAUAUCCUUCUGGGCAUUCAGCCUAUUGUUUUUGCUCACAGCAAAUUUGCCGAUUGGACAACCACAGCACAAAACUUUGGCACAGAUGUGAAGGAGAUAGGACCAUGUUGUUUCUUGUUUGUUCACUAGGAUUCACCAAACGGUAUGUCAUUCACACGCUUGUAGGUGGCGGCAGACUUGUCACACAAAACCUUGGCAUGGAUAUGACAAUGACAGCUUUUUGAGUGUUUGAUAGGCCACUCUUCUGGGUAUGUUGGUUUCACACCUGAGCAUGAAACCUGUGAUUUGCAGCUUAAAACUUGGGAUUUGUGGAACAAAACUUUGGCAUAGGUUUGAAGGGGAUUCCAUAUUUGGAGCUUUGUAGUUAAUAGCUCCCUUGCAGACUAAUGUGCUGAUCAGAACAUAAUUAUCCACUGGAUUUCACACUUCCUGAAUGUUCCAACACCGUACUUGGCUGAAAAAGAAGUGUCUCAAAAUAUGUUUAGAAAUGUGUCUAUUGUGGAGGGUGGAAACAGUUUCGAAAUGUUUGAUUUUAAGUUAAGUAUUUUCAAAUGGCUGCUCAGAUAAAUGUGUCCAUCCCCUUCCCAAACCACAGUGGCUCCAUCACCCUCACUGGUGUGAUAGUGAGAAGGAAAUAUUCCCUGUAGCUUAAAGCAGAACAGCAAUGAUACACUAGCAGUAUCAGUCACCCAUCUAGAAGACAUGUGGGCAAUUCCAAACAUCAAAAUUCAUGGAAAAAAUAGAUGCGGAAUAUUUCAGAAAUAUCCCUAAGAAGUACCUAGGAACUAUGGUUAGCACAUCUAUAGAUAAUGAACCUAUACACUAGGAUUCUAACUUGAAAUCAAUGGGAUUUGAGAAAGAUCAAGGUUUAAUUUUUAUGACUCAGUGAUAACAAUGUUCAUAGAUACAUUGUUAGAACGAGAACUAGCUUCAGGUAUGGAUCUAUAUUGUGUGUAAUAAAAUCAUGAUACUAUUAGGAGACUUUUAUAAAGCAAAUCUCUAAAAUGGGUCAUAUGUACCUUCUUUUAUGAUUUUUAUUGCAUUUUAAAGUACUGUCUGCAAUAAAACCACUCUGCUGGGGACAGCACAAUUUCUUUUAAAAUAAUUACAUCUAAGAACUGCUUGUGGUCUGAACCUUGCCAUGCAGCAGUUAAAUAUAUUAAACCAGCUAAAGUACUUAUAUUUCUGAGAUACUUGGCAGCCCUUCAGAGUCACUAAACUACAACUGCAGUCCAACUGCCUUCAGAGCCAGAGAUGCUGCUACUGCAGCAGGCUCACUCCCACAAGUAACUGAUCUACUUGAUGUACGUUCAAGUGGAUCAUAUGGGUGAUCUAUGUGAAUGAACACCCUUUUCAUGCUGGAAAAGGGACGCUAAUAAAAUAUGGUGCCUGCUCUGCAAUUAGAUAAAAAAAUGCAAGAUGAUUCCUACUUGGAAUUGAAGAUACAGAAGGUGAAUCAAUGGACAGCUCAGGCAAACAUCAAAACCUCCAGAAAGACCAAAGCUCAUCAAAACAAACAAAAAAGCUCUAUUGUGGAGUGGUCAUCCAUUUAAAAAUGCACUUCUUCCCUUGCUAUUGUCCUUCAUAUUUUUAACACAAAUAAAACAGAGUUGUGGCCUCCUAUUUAUCACAAUCUGCAGCUCCCACGUAGCAAAGCCAAUUAUAAGUUUGUCAAUUUCGUCCUCAUAGCAAUACCCACAUUGCUGCUAAGAAAUGUUGUUAAGGGCGAAGUUUUAUGCUACUAAUAACUCCUCUGGAGAAGCAGGGGCAGUUUUACAUAGCGAAUUAAGCGCCAAAGACUUCACAGCAUUUUUAAACUGGGCACUUGCCAAUUUUGUUUGGUUUCAAUUAAGGCUCAAAGCUUUAGUCGGUUUAAGGGCCUGUCUAAAUGUGUGUGUGUUUAUGCUGUAUAAUUUCCCUGCUUGCUUAUAAAGCAACUUUUGUAUCCACAGGAACAUGCAGGAGAGAAGACUGAACCCAACUAUGCUCGAAGCUGCUUGAAGACGAUUCCUUCAGCCCAGCUCUAACAAUGGAAGUAAACUGGGCUGAGGAAGAACAACCAUAGAGUAGCCAAGAGUGGCAAGGUUGCAUUGGUGAGAGGUAAGGAUGGAGGAGGAAUUUGAUUCAGUUCACAUUAAAAAAACCCAAAUCUAUGUACAGUGGUACCUCAGGUUACAUACGCUUCAGGUUAAAUACGCUUCAGGUUAAAGACUCCGCUAACCCAGAAAUAGUGCUUCAGGUUAAGAACUUUGCUUCAGGAUGAGAACAGAAAUCGUGCUCUGGCAGCGCGGUGGCAGCAGGAGCCCCAUUAGCUAAAGUGGUGCUUCAGGUUAAGAACAGUUUCAGGUUAAGUACGGAUCUCUGGAACGAAUUAAGUACUUAACCUGAGGUACCACUGUAAUUUGCAUUUUCCAAAAACAGCACAAAGUCCAAAAUGUUGAAUUGUGCAAAAUUCACUUUUCCAGAUUUUGCAAUGCAGUUCUCCAGCCAAGUAACAUGUACAAAAAUGCAUACAAAGGGAUAAAGUGUCCAUAAAAAUGCAUCUAUUAGUGAAAGUACCAUGCAAAAUGCAUUGUGUUGGGGGAAAUUCCACUACAAAGGAGUGUACAUCAGGCAAAAUUGCAUACAAAUACGUAGAUUAGCAUAAAUUUGCACUAAAAUGCUGAUGAGUUUUCAUGAAGAGCUUUUUUAAAAAAUGCAUGGAAAAGUGGAGAACUGGACUUAAGAUAGGAAAAACGAGAAACCGAAAGAAACCAAAAUAGACAGAAUUGCCUAUUCUGAGCUGUUGCCCCCCCCAGCCUUGCACAACGCUUUGUAUUAAAAACAGACCCCCCCCACACCUCCUUGAUAUGUAUAAAUGGCCUAUCUACUUGGGAAUCCUUUCAACACCAAUUCAUUUGCUUUAAAAUCUCUGAAGGUCUGCCAGGCAAACUCAGACUUUAGCAUACACAGCUGGGUGUGAGGAACUGUCCAGUCUAUUGGGUCUCACCACCAAUGAAUGUGGCAGCUAGACUCGUGACUGUGAGCGACCGCCAAGACCACAUAACACCAGUCCUUAAAGACCUACAUUGGCUCCCAGUACGUUUCCAAGCACAAUUCAAAGUGUUGGUGCUAGCCUUUAAAGCCCUAAACAGCCUCGGCCCAGUACACCUGAAGGAGCGUCUCCACUCCCAUCGUUCAGCCCAGACACUGAGGUCCAGUGCCAAGGACCUUCUGGCAGUUCCUUGACUGUGAGAAGUGAGGUUACAGGGAACCAGGCAGAGGGCUUUCUCGAGAGGGGCAUGUACCCUGUGGAACUCACUCCCAUCAGAUGUCAAGGAAAUAAACAAUGAUCUGGCUUUUAGAAGAUAUCCGAAGGCAGUCCUGUUUAGGGAAGUUUUUAAUGUUUGAUGUUUUAUCAUGUUUUUAAUAUUUUGUUGGGAGCCGCCCAGAGUGGCUGGGGAAACUCAGCCAGAUGAGAGGGGUAUGAAUAAUAAAUUAUUAUCAGUAGUAGUAGCAGUAGUAGCAGCAGCAGCAGCAGCAGUAGUAGUAGUAAGAGUGUGACCUUGAACACACCCAGCUUCUGUGGCUUCGCAUUACAAGGGAAAAGUGAUACUGGUUGUCUUCCUUUGCUGUUCUUACCGAUAAACUCUGAAAAGAUUUAAAGAUACUCUAGAGUUCUCUGGAACAUAGCCAGAAAACAGAUAAAAGAAAGUUUUUGUUGAUUUAUUGGUGGUGGAAGGACAGUUUUCAUCUGCUGCCCACAUACUCCACCACUGCGCUAUAUUCUGGAGGGAAGAUUGUGUGUUCCGUAUCUUCCAUGGGCCACAACUGGCUGAGGAGUCAGAGAAGACUCCAGCUCACAUCUAAUCUGCCUCAAGUAAGGCCUUAUUUCAUUUACGCUGCUUCAUGUGGCUGCUUCUACUUGUGUCCCAGGUUACUGUCACUGUUACUUUGAACAGACACCUGCUUUCAGGGUGGCUGAUUCAAUGCAAUUACUUAUCUGUAGCUUGUGAGUGUCUCAUUUUGGUCUCCUCAGGAGCAAAUCCCAAACCCCAGGAACAGUCAAAGCCUCAGGGUCAUGGGGAAGACUAUCCCGAAACAAGGGUGGAGCACUCUGCCUCAGUGCUUUUGGCCAGGGCAGGCUUGAGCCAGAACAAUAAGUCUCACAGUGCAGGCAGGUAAAUAUUUGAUGCUGGUAUUCCAUCUCUGGGCUCACCUAAUGACAACUUAAAGAGGACAUCUGCCUGGGAGUGUGAGAAGCCACACUUAGGAGUCUAGAUUUCCCCAUCUCUUCUUUAUGUUCUAAUGGGCUUCUCUUCCUUCUCCUGACUGUUCUGCAAUGUUCCGUACAUCCUCUAUGUCUUCUUGCCCUUUGUUUGCCCACGGCAUUGCAGCUGGGCUCUUUUCUCUCCACAAGGCUGAUGACUGAGAGUUUUCUGCCCUGCUCCUUCAUCUCUCAGAAGUAGAGCCUCUACGCCUGGCAUGUCCAAAGUCCGGCCUCUGGGCCUGAUGGCUUUGAAGGUCCCAACGGUCGGUUUAAUCCGGCCCCUGUUGCAGUUUAUUUCCUGGAGGGGGGAAUCCUAAAAGAAGGUCAACAACUUUGGGGAGGGGGAAAGGCCAACAUCUUUGGUCAGCCCUCACGCAUGUUCACUUCAUCAAAUCUGGCCCUCUUUGGAAAAAGUUUGGGCACCCCUGCUCUAGACAGUGCCCAAUGAACCAUUAACUUGUUGGCACCUGGUGGUACCAAUUGGGGGCAAAUUACAGGGCCAUGCACUAGAGGAGGAACCAGAAAGCCUGGUUUUGUUGUUGCUGUUUAGUCAUUAAUCGUGUCCGACUCUUCGUGACCCCAUGGACCAGAGCACGCCAGGCACUCCUGUCUUCCACUGCCUCCCACAGUUUGGUCAGACUCAUGCUGGUAGCUUCGAGAACACUAUCCAACCAUCUCGUCCUCUGUCGUCCCCUUCUCCUUGUGCCCUCAAUCUUUCCCAACAUCAGGGUCUUUUCCAGGGAGUCUUUUCUUCUCAUGAGGUGGCCAAAGUAUUGGAGUCUCAGCUUCACGAUCUGUCCUUCCAGUGAGCACUCAGGGCUGAUUUCCUUAAGAAUGGAUACAUUCGAUCUUCUUGCAGUCCAUGGGACUCUCAAAGAAAGCCUGGUAGCCCUUUUAAUUUGCAAAUAAAUAUAAUGGGCAUGAAAAUGCUGUGCAAGAAGCUGGAAAUAUCUGCAGAAAUAAAGGGUUUGCUUUUGCACUCAGUGGAUAUCAUCCUGAGCUUCAGAAAAUUAUAUGCAAAAUUGCAAGUGCUUGAAUUAAAAAAUAAAUAAAUGGGCCUGAUCCUCAAAACUAUAGCAGGAAAUCUAUUUAUUAUACCAUCUGAUUAUUUUAUUAGUUUAAAACCAUUGGGAGUCCUUCUUCUUUGAAGUGGUGUUAGAUCCUGUGUUACUGCACUUCAUAAUUGGUUCGUGAAAUAAUCCCCAUCUGCUCAGGGCAAGGGAGACCACAGGAAUAAAGUGAUUAAGUGUUGUCAUCAGAUUUGUGAUCCCACUGAAUUCAAUGAAUUUAAAAUACUCUACUUUGUGUAAAAUAUCGCAACAUUACAGAGUGAUCAUUUAAAUAUGUUCAUACAGCAUCUCAUUUGCAGCAAAAACUGGCAUGCACAGUAAUGUGAAAUAUGACCGUUUAUGCAGCACUGGAAAGUUUAUUUGUAAUAAACUGUGAGAGCAUGUAUCAAAAUGUGGAGUUUUAAAGCAUACUGAAAGGCACAGGGGAUUGGAAAUGGAUGCCAGUAUGUUCAGCAAAGGUUUAAAAAGCCAUUUCACAUUGUGCCUAUGAAGUGAAGAUCAAUCUAAUCCCCCCAGAAAACCAUCAGUACAGCCAAAAAUGUUAGACUGUAGCCUUUAAGUCCCAGCAGGUAUCGUAACUAGCCUGAGGGUUCUCUGGAGUUUCAUUUCUGACACAACUGUUUGGUAUUUAUCUCUUUUAGCUAUCAUAUAAGUCAUAUGACAUUAGCAGUUGCCAUGUGUAAUGGGAAGAAAGGGGCAGCUGCAUCUUUGCUAAAGCUCACGUGGUUGUGUUAGUUUGUACCACAUCCAAAUAUAUGGAUUACACCGGCAUACUUGGGACUGAUGGAAUCAGUGUUCCAGGAGACUAAUGCCCCUAAAUGGGCAUGCAUAUCCCAAUUAAUAUAAAUAAGCCCCCCCCCUUGGAUUUAAUUCAUAUGUGCCCAGACAAGCAUAGGUAUGGAUGAGCAGUCAGAUGCAUCAACUCCUGCAUGCACAGUUUUCUUUAUUAUCAUUAUUAUUAUUAUUAUUAUUAUUAUUAUUAUUUUAUUCAAAAUUAUAACAAGACAUAUUAUCCAAAAACAUAUCAUCCCAUUUUUCCUCCCUCCCCCCCACAAGACCCACCACCCCCCGACUUCCCUCAGUUCCAGUCUUUGAUUUCUCUAAGAAUGCUGUUUUCUGCAUGUUACAAAGUUGUAUAGAUCCUCAAACUAUUUAGCUGAUUAUUAUCAAUAAAAAGUUUGUGUAUGUUUAUUCAAAACCUGCCAAGGAGUCCAGUUUUUGCGUCUUCAGAUACUUUGUAAAGGGUUCCCAUUCAUCCUUAAAGUCACAGUUAUCCUUGUCCUGUAGCCUAUAUGUCAGUUUUGCCAGUUCUGCAUAGUCCAUCAAUUUUUCUUGCCAUGAUUCUUUAGUUGAGGUUUCUUCAGUCUUCCAUCCUUGUGCUACUAGAACUCUCGCGGCCGUUGUCGCAUACAUGAAGAUGUUUUUCAACUUUUUUGGCAGGUUUUUCCCUACAACCCCCAACAAAAAUGCCUUGGGUUUUUAAACAAAUGUUAAAUGGAACAUUUUCUUCAAUUCGUUGCAUAUCAUUUCCCAAUUUUUUUUAAUUACCUUACAGUCCCACCACAUAUGAUAAAAUGUCCCCUGCUUUUCCGACAUAUAUUUGAACUAGUUUUGUACAUUUUCCCUAACUGCACUGGUGUUGUGUACCAUCUGUACAUCAUCUUCAUGUAAUUCUCCUUAAAUAGGGAAUAAUCUGUAAAUUUUAAGUCACUUUUCCAUAAUUUUUCCCAAUCUUCCAUCACUGGGAGUGUUGUGACCUACAUCUUGUGUCCAUUUAAUCAUAACAGUUUUCAAACAAGCAAUGGGAGGUUAGAGAAUUCCAUCAAAAAUGGAAACAGAAGUGGAAAUUGCCACAAUUUGCAUGUUCAUCUGAGGUGAGGAACAGAAAUCACACAAGCAAACACAAGGCAGUAUUCACUAUCGUUGGGUUUUGCAGUCCAGAAAUGCUACAUAGAUAAUUACAUUCUCUUCUGCAUUGGUUUCAACAUUUCCCUCCUGCUGAAAUGUCUUACAUCAGUUUCAGGCAUAGAGAAGAGUGAGAUGAAUAACGUAGGUUUUAGCAGAAGCCGAACUGCAGCAGGAUAGAAAUGGGACUGAUUGCGAGAAACACAGAAUAGGAUGGUAACUGCUGCUUCUUUACAUCCCUAGUUGUAUUGAGAGCCUUGCAGGUGGUGUUCCACUCACACAAUGGGACUUUCCCCUUCUCUUCCUAGUGCUCUCAAUAUCUGCUCCAGAGGUUCUCCUGAUCUUCUAGAGAAUAUAUGAGGGGUGUACAGAGGUUCCAUAUAUGGAGAUAUGUUUUAUAACUGAAUUAAGGCAACAGAUUUUCCUUUUACUUAGUGAACAUAAGAACAACAGUGAGCGGGGUUGGAUAGACAGGGUUCCCUAGGCGGGGAGUUCUAAAGCCUAGGUGCAGAAAUUGAUGAGGUCCUUUAUUGCAUUCUCACCAAACACCCUUAAGAUAACAACAGGACACUGAAGAGCCUCUUUUGGAGUUGUUAGAACCCAGGUAGACUCAUAAAGAAGGGAGGAGUAGCUCAAGGAUUAUUUCUUUAAAAUAUGUCUAAGUCACUCUUCAUCUAGGCAGACACCGAGUAACUUUGUACUGCUUCAGCCUCUCCCACUGCGUUUAGUUUUUGCUCAUCUUUUUGUGGGGUUACAAUUCUCCUGAGCUAGGGCUGCCAUAUGUCCAGGGGAAAUUUCUGGCGCUUUGACCUGAUCUUAGGCAAGCCAAUCAAAUAAAAGCUCAACAACUUUUUGGGAUUUUCCUUAAAAAAAAAAAAUCAACAAUUUUGAAGUCUCUUUUAAAAAGCUCAACAACUUUCAGGGUGUCCUGGUUUUUACUUUCUGAAAUAUGGCAACCCUACCUGAGCUCUAGCCAGGACAAAUUGUAGUCCAAAAUAUCCGGGUAGUGCCAGGUUGACUAAGACUGAACCUCCUCCUUCCUUUUAGCAAAUUCUGCCUGAAAUAAAAACACCUCUCGUGGGCCAUUUACAGAUGCUCUUUAUCCUUAUCCUCUUCCCCUCUACAAGCUUUUCCAAGGCUACAGGAGUACUACUGCCAUUUCUGAAUGACCUUUUUGAACUUAAGUUGGGUAAAGGACAGCAUUUCUUUACAUGGGAGCAUUUCUUCACUCUGAUCUUAACCACCUCAUUGAACAAGGCACAAGCUACAGAUAUCCAGAUCUUCCUUCCUUCUUUCCUUCCUUCCAGGAGGUCCAAAAACCCUCCAGUGACAAGGAAGAGCACAGAAAAUGCAAUGCAUGUAUGAAUGUGAACUUGACAGGGGAGGAAGGGAGGGAGGGAAGGACGACAUCGGAAUGUGGUGCUCAGUAACCUGCCUGCCGCACACCUCUCUCCUAGCAAAUAAACAAUAUUCUGAAGCUGGAUAAAUGCUUUAUUGAGAAGAUAACAUAUUGAGCUUUCAGCUACUGCCGUCCCACGUGCCACGCUGGCAAAGACGGAAGCAUCGGUUUUAUCACAUAAAUAAAGCAUUUCUCAAAGCCACCGAGAGCAAUGAAUAGCAUUUCUUUUCCGCGCAGCAGAACGGUGUGCCGCAGAUAGCGUGACUUCCAGAAAAUGAAAUUGCCACUGUUGAAUUUUAGACAGCUUCCGACAGGAACAAUGAAAGGGGUGGGGAAUUUAGCAGGGCGCUGAGGGCGGCGGGGGGGAGAGAACUUGACUAUGUAUAUGUACAUUGUAAUUCACAGGUGAACUAGUCAAAAGAGAAAGCAGAGCAGAACCUUUACAAUUAUAGUCUUUUCCCCCUCUUUUUGUAGUGCUGCUUCUAUGUCUUUACCCAGCCAGGGGGAAAACCCCAGGGAAAAGUGGCACAGCCAUAGCUUCUACUAAUAUUAAGUCUUGACUUCCAGAUUAUCAAUUUGCAUCAUUUAUUCCUCAAUAUUAUAAGGUUUCGUGCAGAAUUCUUAUAUUUUAUUGUGGUGCUAGGGGAGCAUGUAGCCUUCUCUUCUUUUUUGACUCACAGCAGCUCAACUCGGGAAAAUGCCCUGGAGAAGUGAGGCUGAUUCGCUCCUCAGCAAUUUCCUUUCUCCCAUCAGACAGCAGCAACCCAGGGCAUGCCCACUGCCAAUUACACCUGAAGGAGUCAAAUAGAAGCAGCCCACAAACCUCUUAGACCAGCCUGGAAGGGAGGAAGCCCUCUGCCCCAUAACCUGCAGCUGUUGUUACAGAAUCUGUUUGCAAAGCCAUACAGUGGCAUGAAAGGGAGAACAAAGCAGAACAUCCGUUUAUUUUAUCCUCAUCAUACCCCUUCUUAUCGGCUGCAUAGAAAAGCUCCAUAGAAAAGCAUGAACAACACAUUGAACAUGCAGGAAAAAUAAGGAGGAAACGAGCAGGAAGGAAGGAAUUCUGAUGGGAUAGGAGAACAAGGCAACUUCAGGAGACAUCAGCGGCCACGUAAUUUGAGACUUGGGCUGCAUGAGGCUACCUGCUUUAGGGAGGCUGCAUGCAGGUUGCUCACCUAUGCUAUAGAUUAGAGAUGGGGAGAAACAUGAGUCCAUUAGGAUUUAUAGGCAAACCUACUUAAUUUGCAUUUUUGGGUGGGCGGGGGGAUGAACCAAAGCACAGAUGCCCUUCAAAAGGUACACUUCUCUGAAUUUUUGCCAAUCUUUUCUCCACUAAGCAAUGUAUAUCAAAAGGGCAAAGUGUGCACAGUAAUGCAUGUAUUAGUGAAAUAGCAUAGAAAAUGCAUUGUAUCACUGUAAAUUGCUUUGCAGGAAAGGUGUGUCUAGGACAAAAUGCCAUGCAAAGAUACACAUAUUAGCGAAAAGUCACACUGAAAUGCUGCUGAAUUUUCAUGAGGAACAAAAAAAGAAACAUUUGCAAACUGAUGCGAAAAUGUGGAGGACUGAAUUUAAGAAUGGAAAAGUGAGGAAAUUAUUUAUUUGUUAUUACAUUUAUAUGCCACCUCCCAAGGAGCUCAGCGUAGUGGUACAUUAGGCUAAGAAAUGGUGACUGGCCCAAGGUCACCCAGUGAGUUUCAUGGCUUGUGGGGAUUUGAACAUUGGUUUCCCAUGUAAUUGUUUGACACACCUAACCAUUUCAGCACAUCAACAUUGACAGAACUGACCAUAGAUGUUUCAGCAGCGAAGAAACUUCAUGUCAAAGAAGGCCCACUACCUCUCUUCUCCACGAUCUUCCACUUGUAGUGAAAGAUGUUUAUAUUUGGAUUUGAAAAUAUGCUGAGAUUGGUUUUAACUGCAUGUUUUAAUUGCUUGAUUUUUAAUUGCCCUUGUAUUAUUAUUUUUGCAUUAUUGUACAUUCUUCCACUCACAUAUUUACUUGCUGUUCAUCAGCAAAGUAUAAACUAUCACAACACUGCCCUCUGAAAAUCAGUAGGCUCCAAAGUUAGCACUGUACUGCUUAAACCUGAAUUCUUAUUAAUGUACAAUAGUUCAAAAAGUUGUGCAAGUUCAUAUGAAAACCCUCGGUUGAUCGACGUAACAGUGAGCCAGAUUAGGAUAGCAGCUGCUGCUAUUUCUCUUCUCUUUCACAUGGGUGGGUGAGAGAGGGCUUGAUUUAUUCCCUAUCUGCCUUCUUCUAAUUAUAAUCUUUUUUCUUUCUCUCUCUCUUUUUUGCUUCUGGAUGGCACACAUCUGGGACUCAGCUUGAUGUAGCCAAUUGCAAUUGACAUUUCCCAUAGCCCAGGGUUAGUUUAGCAUUAAUUAACACCAGAUUAUUAGCAUCUUUCUUCUUUAUUUCUGUGGUUCUCAGGCUCUUUGCAAAAACCUACUUAGCAAAGAAGAAUGAAUCCAAAGCUUCUGUCCUAAACCUAUUUAGACCUAAGGCUGGUCCAAACAGGCAUGCAUGCCACCUGACUUUUUGUGCUCGAUUUUUAUUUGAGAAACAGUUCACAUAUGCCAUUCAUCAAUUCAUGUUGCAGUCCAUUAAAUAAUGAACAUGCAUGUCUGAAGAGGCUCGUUGUUUCUCAUUGGUGGGUAUAACAUAACCAAUCCUACGGGAGCAACUGAACUACAGGAGAGGUAAUCUGAAGGAAAAAAAAUCUUUUCAGAGGAGUCACUUCUAGAGGCAGAGGUAACAUGGGGUACUCUGUUGAAAACCUUGCUGAAAUUGAGAUACACUACACCUACGGCUUGAGAGUCCCAUGGACUGCAAGAAGAUCAAACCUAUCCAUUCUUAAGGAAAUCAGCCCUGAGUGCUCACUGGAAGGACAGAUGGUGAAGCUGAGGCUCCAAGACUUUGGGCACCUCAUGAGAAGAGAAGACUCCCUGGAAAAGACCCUGAUGUUGGAAAAGAUGAAGGGCACAAGGAGAAGGGGACGACAGAGCACAAGAUGGUUGGACAGUGUUCUCGAAGCUACCAGCAUGAGUUUGACCAAACUGCGGGAGGCAGUGGAAGACAGAAGUGCCUGGCGUGCUCUGGUCCAUGGGGUCACGAAGAGUCGGACAUGACUAAACGACUAAACAACAACACACCUACGGCAUUCCUCUGAUCCACCAAGCUUGUAGCUCUAUCAAAAAAAAAAAAAAAAAGACUCUGGUAUGACUUGCUUUUGAGAAACCCAUACUGGGUCUUAGUAAUCACAGCAUCCUUUUCUAAGGGCUCCCAGACUUAUUGUUUAAUUGUCUGUUCUGGGACCUAUCCUGGUGUCGAUGUUAAGCUCACCAGUUGGUAGUUACCUGGAUCAAUACUAAGGCCACUCCAGCAGGCUACUACUAGGCAAGCUUCAGUAUGAGGAUUCAGUAUGAGGGGGCUGAGAAGCCCUCAUUGUUUUCCUUAUGGCAUCACUGGGAGCACUGGAACUUGGAUGGGUUGGGCUCAAAACAAGCUUAUUGUGAGCCAAAAUCAGUUGGGAUGAAUCCAUUCAAGGCAAGCUUGGACAAUACUACAAACCAAUACUUUGCAACCUGAAGAUCACUGUUCACUGUUCUGAUCGUUCCAAUAGUCUUGUUUGCAGACAGUGAAAUACAAAUAGUGUUUAAUUACAAUUAAUUAGCAUGACAGACUAGCAUGAUAGGAGUUUUCUCCCUGCGCUUUCCCGCCCUUAAAAAUAAAAGUCUGGAUUAAGUAUUUUAUUGCUGAGGUCUUUGCAUAAUUUUAUAACAAGAGUUCCUUUGAUAAGCUGGGUUGUCUACAUUUUCACACUUUUUCUUCCUGAGGAAAUUUGGUAUUUCUCUGGUUUUGGAGAAUUUGUAGCGGGGUGGGGAGGAUGCCACGAAACAGAGAGAAAUAAAUAGAGGAAUGUUCCUUCAGAGAAACUAUGCAUCUGGUCUUCAACAAUUGAGUUAAAUCUAUCUGAAGUAAUUAUCUCCAUCUUCUUAAAAAUCAAUGGCAACAGAAGCUCAGUCUGUGUCAUACUCUGCCUUAAUCGGAUUUGAGAUAUUAGAUUUUAAGCACAGGCACGAUCAUCUCCUUAAUUGAAGCAGCCAUUCUUCUCAGUUGUGUGACAGAGGGUGAAUACAGACAGUCAUAAGGCAAAUGCUGUACUUGCUACAGUUCAAGGUACCAUUUGAGAUUUUCAGGAAGGUCAGCUUCCAUUUAUGAUGGGGCUGUGGUAAGCCAACAUCACCCGUCAAACUGCAAGCUUGCCUGAUUUUGGGGUGGCUACCAGUCAUACUUUUAAAACAACCAAACACUUUGUUGUUGUUUAGUCGUUUAGUCAUGUCCGACUCUUCGUGACCCCAUGGACCAGAGUAUGCCAGGCACUCCUGUCUUCCACUGCCUCCCGCAGUUUGGUCAAACUCAUGCUGGUAGCUUAGAGAACACUAUCCAAACAUCUCGUCCUCUGUCGUCCCCUUCUCCUUGUGCCCUCCAUCUUUCCCAACAUCAGGGUCUUUUCCAGGGAGUCUUCUCUUCUCAUGAGGUGGCCAAAGUAUUGGAGCCUCAGCUUCAUGAUCUGUCCUUCCAGUGAG
rnacentral:lncRNA from 1 species